rnacentral:tRNA from 1 species
UGUCUGUAUAGUUUAACCAAAACACUAGACUGUGAACCUAGAGAUAGAAAAUAUUCUUACAGACC